GAACGCUGGCGGCAGGCCUAACACAUGCAAGUCGAGCGGUAACAUUUCUAGCUUGCUAGAAGAUGACGAGCGGCGGACGGGUGAGUAACGCGUAGAAAUCUACCUAGUAGUGGGGGAUAGCCCAGAGAAAUUUGGAUUAAUACCGCAUACGCCCUACGGGGGAAAGCGGGGGAUCUUCGGACCUCGUGCUAUUAGAUGAGUCUGCGUCGGAUUAGCUUGUUGGUGAGGUAAUGGCUCACCAAGGCGACGAUCCGUAGCUGGUCUGAGAGGAUGACCAGCCACACUGGAACUGAGACACGGUCCAGACUCCUACGGGAGGCAGCAGUGGGGAAUAUUGCACAAUGGGCGCAAGCCUGAUGCAGCCAUGCCGCGUGUGUGAAGAAGGCCUUAGGGUUGUAAAGCACUUUCGGCAGUGAGGAAAGGGGUGUCGUUAAUAGCGCCAUCCUGUGACGUUAACUGCAGAAGAAGGACCGGCUAACUCCGUG
rnacentral:rRNA from 1 species